CCCUUAGAUGUUCUGGGCCGCACGCGCGCUACACUGAAGGGAUCAGCGUGUUUUCCCUUCCCGAGAGGGACGGGUAACCCGCUGAACCCCCUUCGUGGUAGGGAUCGGAGCUUGCAAUUGCUCUCCGUGAACCAGGAAUUCCCAGUAAGCGCAAGUCAUAAGCUUGCGUUGAUUACGUCCCUGCCCUUUGUACACACCGCCCGUCGCUACUACCGAUUGAACGUUUUAGUGAGGUAUUUGGACUGGGCCUUGGGAGGUUUCGGCCUCCCUUGUUGCUCGGAAAGACUCCCAAACUUGAGCGUUUAGAGGAAGUAAAAGUCGUAACA
rnacentral:rRNA from 1 species